UCGUUUCAAAUUUCCUCUAGUGCUUUUCCUCUAUUCAAUAUAUUAUUUUGUAUUCUGGUUAGUUGAUAUUUCAGGGCGUGGCUGGCUUCGUCGUGGUGAGGAAAAGCUAAGAAAAAGGGAACCUUUUUUAAAAGGUAUUCCAGUGCAGACCACACUUAUAAUAAUGCUGUGGACUGAAGUAACAUAGUAAAAACAAGAGAUACCGCUAUUCCCACCGUGGUUUCCAUGUACCGCCGUGUCCCUAGAUGUCCUGCCGUGUCCUGCCGUUAUGUCCCACCGUGUACCGUCAUAUCCCGCUGGGUCGCGCCAUGUACCGCCUUGUCCCGCCUAGUAUUUCGCCUUGUGUUCCGCGUGGUGUCCCCUUUUUAACGAAUCUAGUAAACCCUUUUACUCUAUGUGAAAUUCAAAUUUUGUCUAGAAUUUAUAAAUACAAAAUUGGAUUGUGCGAAUUUCUAAAGUUCUGAAUGCU
ensembl:ncRNA lncRNA:CR43304 long non-coding RNA:CR43304